rnacentral:misc_RNA from 2 species
CAGAGUUAUACAACUCCCAUACCAUCUGUUAACCUACCCAGUUAUGCCUCGGCGUAAGCUCGGUUGGAGGCACCUGCAGCUACCCUGUAGUUGCGGACUGCCAACUCCAGCCGCGGCCCGCCGGCGGUACACUAAACUCUGUUUUAUUUUAUAUUCUGAGCGUCUUAUUUUAAUAAGUUA